GUCUACAGCCAUACUACCCUGAGCCCACCCCACACAUCUGUUCUCGGAAGCUAGCCAGUGCCGGGUCUGGUUAGCACUUGGAUGGGAGACCCCCUGGAAUACGGGUGCUACAGGGU
rnacentral:rRNA from 1 species